rnacentral:tRNA from 1 species
AAGGGAGACCUAAUUCAGGUAGGAGACGAAAAAAAAGUAGUCCCAACCAAGAAUCAAUCCCAAAAGGUCGGAGCGAGGCGAAAUUGGCUUUCAAACUAGGUUCUGGGUUCACACAAGACCUGAAUCAGGAACAAGGGCUAUUAGCUCAGGUGGUUAGAGCGCACCCCUGAUAAGGGUGAGGUCCCUGGUUCGAGUCCAGGAUGGCCCACCUGCACAGGUGGCAAAAACAAGAGAAGCGAGGAAUCAGCACCUUAUCUUAUAUACAUAUAUAAGAGAGAAUGCUGGCUCUGAGUACAGAGUCCAGAGGAACCUUGAAAACUGCAUAGAGCUAGGUGAAAAAGCCAAAAAAGAAGACCGCAA